CCUACGGGGGGCAGCAGUGAGGAAUAUUGGUCAAUGGACGCGAGUCUGAACCAGCCAAGUAGCGUGAAGGAUGACUGCCCUAUGGGUUGUAAACUUCUUUUAUAAAGGAAUAAAGUGUUCCACGUGUGGCUUUUUGUAUGUACUUUCUGAAUAAGGAUCGGCUAACUCCGUGCCAGCAGCCGCGGUAAUACGGAGGAUCCGAGCGUUAUCCGGAUUUAUUGGGUUUAAAGGGAGCGUAGGUGGGUUGUUAAGUCAGUUGUGAAAGUUUGCGGCUCAACCGUAAAAUUGCAGUUGAAACUGGCAGUCUUGAGUACAGUUGAGGUAGGCGGAAUUCGUGGUGUAGCGGUGAAAUGCUUAGAUAUCACGAAGAACUCCGAUUGCGAAGGCAGCUCACUAAACUGCAACUGACACUGAGGCUCGAAAGUGUGGGUAUCAAACAGGAUUAGAUACCCUUGUAGUC
rnacentral:rRNA from 1 species